rnacentral:lncRNA from 1 species
CUUUCUUGAAACAGUUUAUUAUAAUGAACAUUUGUAUGUAUAAAAUAGCAUAACUUGAAAUGUGUAAACUGUAAUUGAAUGGGACUUAGGCUUUACAUCUUGCAUGAGAUUAACAUAAGAUACUCAAAUAAAUAAAAUGUACAUCAUAUGUAAUUUAAGGUUGCCAAUAACCAAUUAUAUACAACAAAGGAGAGCAUGAAAUGUCUGUCUGAUUUAUUGAUUUUAAGAGAAUGAUAUGCUGGCAGUCUUAGAGAUAUAAAUAGCUCAUUAAAAUAUGAAAAUGACAUUAAGGUCAGAUGACUCCUAUAAGAUAGAAACAUACACUUUGCAGGGAUUCUUUCAAUCAAUGUCAGUUGAUUUUCUACUCGAAACUAACCUUAACACAAAUACCAACGACAAUAACUAGUCAGGUUCCCCCUAUCACAUGCCGAGUAGAUUUGUACACUGAUAACUUUAUCAUUUCUCUAAGGAUGAUUCUUACAAGUCCUUCUCCCCUAAACAAUGUCUAAUUUUCAAAGUCAUAAAGACUCUUGAGUGAAUCGUUGAUCAAAUGGUGACAUUAAAAUUACCAGGAGCAGACUGACAGAAGGGGUUUUAAUGCAUUAUGCUCUCAGCAAAAAAAUCACUUAAAUGAAAAUAAAUCAGUCAUGUUACUGUCAGAUGGGUUUGUACACCUUACUGCCAUUCUACAGACAAAAUGAAACUGUUUGUCUACUAAUAAUAGUACAUGAAAAACUAAUUCAAAAAUUUAGACUCAAAACGUAUUCAUACAAAAAGGUUUGAUGACUUAUGUUAAACUCACAUGUAUACCUUACAUUCUAACUUUGUCAGGUUAUUAGCAUUUAUACAUUUUCUUUUAUUAAUCAUGUGAUCAUUAAGAUAUAUACAACAUAUGCCCAUGCUCCAGCAAGCACUUAAACAUGUAAAAUUGUUCCCUCUCAAGACUUUCAAUUGUUUAUCUUGUAUUUACAGUAUUGCAAAAACUUAAGCUGCCUGAAUUUAUUACUAUUAAUACAGAUUAUUUGUUUUACUACUCUCUUAUGUCUAAAUGUUUACAAUGGCACUGUAUUAAACACUUGUUUUCCUUAACCUCUAGAUACUUAAGAAAACUGUGGUUAUUGUACAUAUCAAUUUUUAUAAAAUUGCUUGCAAGGACUGAAAGGACAAAUUUCAUCUAAAAUAAAUAAGCUAGGCAAAUUAUAAAUUUGAGAUGAAGUUAUCUUCCUUUGCUCAUGAUUGUACAUUGUAAUUGAGUCUACCUAUAUAAAUAAACUCAUCAUAGAGACCAGGACCAAAUUUUGUAUAUACGCCAGAUGCGGGUUUUGUCUACAAAAGACUCAUCAGUGACGCUCGAAACCAAAAAUGUUGAAAGGGCCAAAUAAAGUACGAAGUUGAAGAGCAUUGAAGACCAAAAUUCCUAAAAGUUUUGCCACCUAUAUAACAGAUUCAUAUUACUUUUGUAAUUCUCAAUGAAGAAAAGUUUAAGAC